AAUAAUGUUGAGGGUUUUUUUUUAAAGGUUAUUCAGCAAUUUAGGAAAAAAAAACAAAAACAGUGUGCUUCCUGAAGCCACAGGAGGAGUCAGAGCAUCCUCUCCUGAGAAUGAAGCCCACUCUAAGUGUUGCUUCUGCGACUUCUUUUGGCCAUUGAUGAUUGUUCUUCCCUUUCUUUGGAAGGGGUAGAGGGAGAGGAUGCAGUCUGAGUAGU